GACGAACGUUGGCGGCGUGCUUAACACAUGCAAGUCGAACGGAAAGGCCCUGCUUUUGUGGGGUGCUCGAGUGGCGAACGGGUGAGUAACACGUGAGUAACCUGCCCUUGACUUUGGGAUAACUUCAGGAAACUGGGGCUAAUACCGGAUAGGAGCUCCUGCUGCAUGGUGGGGGUUGGAAAGUUUCGGCGGUUGGGGAUGGACUCGCGGCUUAUCAGCUUGUUGGUGGGGUAGUGGCUUACCAAGGCUUUGACGGGUAGCCGGCCUGAGAGGGUGACCGGCCACAUUGGGACUGAGAUACGGCCCAGACUCCUACGGGAGGCAGCAGUGGGGAAUAUUGCACAAUGGGCGGAAGCCUGAUGCAGCAACGCCGCGUGCGGGAUGACGGCCUUCGGGUUGUAAACCGCUUUCGCCUGUGACGAAGCGUGAGUGACGGUAAUGGGUAAAGAAGCACCGGCUAACUACGUGCCAGCAGCCGCGGUGAUACGUAGGGUGCGAGCGUUGUCCGGAUUUAUUGGGCGUAAAGGGCUCGUAGGUGGUUGAUCGCGUCGGAAGUGUAAUCUUGGGGCUUAACCCUGAGCGUGCUUUCGAUACGGGUUGACUUGAGGAAGGUAGGGGAGAAUGGAAUUCCUGGUGGAGCGGUGGAAUGCGCAGAUAUCAGGAGGAACACCAGUGGCGAAGGCGGUUCUCUGGGCCUUUCCUGACGCUGAGGAGCGAAAGCGUGGGGAGCGAACAGGCUUAGAUACCCUGGUAGUCCACGCUGUAAACGGUGGGUACUAGGUGUGGGGUCCAUUCCACAGGUUCCGUGCCGUAGCUAACGCUUUAAGUACCCCGCCUGGGGAGUACGGCCGCGAGGCUAAAACUCAAAGGAAUUGACGGGGCCCCGCACAAGCGGCGGAGCAUGCGGAUUAAUUCGAUGCAACGCGUAGAACCUUACCUGGGUUUGACAUGGAUCGGGAGUGCUCAGAGAUGGGUGUGCCUCUUUUGGGGUCGGUUCACAGGUGGUGCAUGGCUGUCGUCAGCUCGUGUCGUGAGAUGUUGGGUUAAGUCCCGCAACGAGCGCAACCCUUGUUCACUGUUGCCAGCACGUUAUGGUGGGGACUCAGUGGAGACCGCCGGGGUCAACUCGGAGGAAGGUGGGGAUGACGUCAAGUCAUCAUGCCCCUUAUGUCCAGGGCUUCACGCAUGCUACAAUGGCUGGUACAGAGAGUGGCGAGCCUGUGAGGGUGAGCGAAUCUCGGAAAGCCGGUCUCAGUUCGGAUUGGGGUCUGCAACUCGACCUCAUGAAGUCGGAGUCGCUAGUAAUCGCAAAGCAGCAACGCUGCGGUGAAUACGUUCCCGGGGCU
rnacentral:rRNA from 1 species